GAAAGCAGCAUUCAGUUCCUGGUAUUUGGACUGAGUUGAGCUUAUGGAUUCCCGGAGGUUAUUAUUCACAGUCUGAAACAAAUGAGAGAAAUGUCCCAGAGACAAGUCCAUGACCAUCGUCACAGGAAUCUCAUUCAAACCACAUAAAUAUUUGACUCCAGAAUGAACUCUCUCUUCUUCCUUUGAGGCAAAGAAGGUCUCACCAAGCCUCAUUCAAGAGAUUCACUGAGAGGGAAGAAUCCAGGAGGUGGCUGUCCCUGCAAAGAGGGAAAGGCAGCUCCCAACUGAACAAAUACAGGGUGAUUUCAUGCUCAGUGAUCAGCUGGUUUUCCUGCUCAGGAAUUCGUUGCUUUUUUGCUGAGAUAUUGGAUCAGGGUGUGCUGCUUUGGACAGAAAUGGGUGUUGUUUUCCCUAGAAAGAGAUAUGCAGUCCAUUGUGGGCCACCAAAUAAGUGCUGAGAACCCAGCCCAGGUCUUCUGUAAGAGCAGCAAGUCGUCUUAACCAUGGAGCCAUCUCUGAAGUCCAAGUCAUCAAAUAAUAAAUGUAUGAAGAGCACAUGCAUGCCUGGUGCCCAUGGAAGCCAAGAGAAAACAUCGGAUCCUUUGGCACUGGAGUUACAGUUGAAAACUGCCGUUCUGGUUUUGGGAUAUGAGUCUUUGCCUGUUGCCUGUUGCUGAAGUUGUUUUGAAUUUUAGUGUCUUGUAUAUAAAGCUGGUGUGAACUGAAAUAAAUGAGUCUUUAAAAGAAAAUAUGUUCUCUUU